rnacentral:rRNA from 1 species
GACGAACCGUCCAAACGUUAUUCGGAAUUACUGGGCUUAAAGGGUGCGUAGGCGGCGCGGUAAGUUGGGUGUGAAAUCCCUCGGCUCAACCGAGGAAUUGCGCUUGAUACUGCCGUGCUCGAGGGAGACAGAGGUGAGCGGAACUUAGGGUGGAGCGGUGAAAUGCGUUGAUAUCCUAAGGAACACCAGUGGCGAAAGCGGCUCACUGGGUCUCUUCCGACGCUGAGGCACGAAAGCUAGGGGAGCGAACGGG